AACGAACGCUGGCGGCAUGCCUAACACAUGCAAGUCGAACGAUACCUUCGAGUCUUGAAGCGCACGGGUGCGUAACUCUUGGGAACCUGCCCUUAGGUUCGGUAUAACUCCCCCAAAGUGGUUCUAAUACCGGAUAAGCUCUUCGGACCAAAGAUUUAUCGCCUUUGGAUGGGCCCGCGUCCGUUUAGCUAGUUGGUAAGGUAAAAGCCUACCAAGGCGACGAUCCAUAGCUGGUCUGAGAGGAUGAUCAGCCACACUGGGUCUGAGACACGGCCCAGACUCCUACGGGAGGCAGCAGUGGGGAAUAUUGGACAAUGGAGGAAAGCCUGAUGCAGCAACGCCGCGUGAGUGAUGAAGGAAUUCGGGUUGUAAAGCUCUUUUACACGGGAUGAUAAUGACAGUACCGGGAGAAUAAGCUCCGGCUAACUACGUG
rnacentral:rRNA from 1 species